rnacentral:rRNA from 1 species
UUUAUGGAGAGUUUGAUCCUGGCUCAGAGUGAACGCUGGCGGCGUGCCUAAUACAUGCAAGUCGAACGAUGAAGCUUCUAGCUUGCUAGAAGUGGAUUAGUGGCGCACGGGUGAGUAAGGUAUAGUUAAUCUGCCCUACACAAGAGGACAACAGUUGGAAACGACUGCUAAUACUCUAUACUCCUGCUUAACACAAGUUGAGUAGGGAAAGUUUU